UGCUGUAUUCGUUUUCNCUAGACAGUGAGU
rnacentral:piRNA from 1 species